rnacentral:rRNA from 1 species
AUUGAACGCUGGCCGCAGGCCUAACACAUGCAAGUCGAGCGGAGCGGCGGACGGGUUAGUCCUGCCUAGGAAUCUGCCUGGUAGUGGGGGAUAACGUCCGGAAACGGGCGCUAAUACCGCAUACUAUCAGAUGAGCCUAGGUCGGGUUAGCUAGUUGGUGGGGUAAAGGCCUACCAAGGCGACGAUCCGUAACUGGUCUGAGAGGAUGAUCAGUCACACGGGAACGGAGACACGGUCCAUGUUCCUACGGGAGGUAGCAGUGGGGAAUAUUGGAAAAUGGGCGAAAGCCUGGUCCAGCCAUGCCGCGUGUGUGAAGAAGGUCUUCGGAUUGUAAAGCACUGUAAGUUGGGAGGCGUUACCAACAGAAUAAGCACCGGCUAACUUCGUGCCAGCAGCCGCGGUAAUUA